AGCGGCGGACGGGUGAGUAACGCGUGGGUAACCUGCCCUAUACACACGGAUAACAUACCGAAAGGUAUGCUAAUACGAGAUAAUAUAAGAGAUUCGCAUGGAUUUCCUAUCAAAGCUGAGGCGGUAUAGGAUGGACCCGCGUCUGAUUAGCUAGUUGGUAAGGUAACGGCUUACCAAGGCGACGAUCAGUAGCCGACCUGAGAGGGAGAUCGGCCACAUUGGAACUGAGACACGGUCCAAACUCCUACGGGAGGCAGCAGUGGGGAAUAUUGCACAAUGGGCGAAAGCCUGAAGCAGCAACGCCGCGUGAGUGAUGAAGACCUUCGGGUCGUAAAACUCUGUCCUCAAGGAAGAUAAUGACGGUACUUGAGGAGGAAGCCCCGGCUAACUACGUGCCAGCAGCCGCGGUAAUACGUAGGGGGCUAGCGUUAUCCGGAUUUACUGGGCGUAAAGGGUGCGUAGGUGGUCUCUUAAGUCAGGAGUGAAAGGCUACGGCUUAACCGUAGUAAGCUCUUGAAACUGGGAGACUUGAGUGCAAGAGAGGAAAGUGGAAUUCCUAGUGUAGCGGUGAAAUGCGUAGAUAUUAGGAGGAACACCAGUAGCGAAGGCGGCUUUCUGGACUGUAACUGACACUGAGGCGCGAAAGCGUGGGGAGCAAACAGGAUUAGAUACCCUGUAGUCCACGCCGUAAACGAUGAGUACUAGGUGU
rnacentral:rRNA from 1 species